UACGGAGGGUGCAAGCGUUAAUCGGAAUUACUGGGCGUAAAGCGCACGUAGGUGGCUGCUUAAGUCGGAUGUGAAAGCCCUGGGCUCAACCUGGGAAUUGCAUUCGAUACUGAGCGGCUAGAGUACGAUAGAGGGAGGUAGAAUUCCACGUGUAGCGGUGAAAUGCGUAGAUAUGUGGAGGAAUACCGGUGGCGAAGGCGGCCUCCUGGAUUGAUACUGACACUGAGGUGCGAAAGCGUGGGGAGCAAACAGG
rnacentral:rRNA from 2 species